GGAGCUAGACCAAAGGUGACGCAGUUGCAAUCGAUAGUGUGCGUGAUUUUUGUGUAAGAUACACAAAUGUCAAAAAAGUAAAACUGUCAGCCAUGUUGCCUACGUCACUAUUUGUGUUUACUUUCAAUCGAUGGUAGAAAAGUGUCGAAAAGUUAACUUUUUAUCAAGUUUUAUUUCAUUUCGUGCGGGGUUUUAUUCGUUUUGACUUCAGUUCUCGAUCGGUAUUUUAGUUAUGCCGCGGUGUGCAGUGAAUGUGUGCCAAAUAACCUCCGGAGAGGCAAAAAAAGUGAAAAUUUAGCCAGCUUCCACUUGUUUCCAAAAGAGCCCACGAAGCGGGCUAAAUGGCUCAAGUUUUGUGGAAUCAUGAAAGAUCCUGGUACAGUAUUGUACGUUUGCUCCCAACACUUCAACCCGGAUGCAUUCGCCACAAAUGCCACCAUUAAACGCGAUCUAAUCAGCUGUGGCCGGAACAUUUUGGUUAAAGAUGCUAUUCCUUCAAUUCGUACCGUGGAGGUGGGAAGUUCUACAAACGUUAUCGCCGCAAAGAAUAAAAAGCAUUAGUUGCAUUAGUUGCCGAAAAUGCAUCCGUAGACUGUGCACUCGAAGAUCCUUCAGAUACGGUUCGUGGUUAUUCAAACAUGGAUGUACUGCUUGAAGCAAUUGAAUUAGCUGUGCCAAUACCACUUGAUCGAAUUUCAACAAACCAGCUGGCGUGCAGUGAGUUUGAGGAUCUCAGAAUUGGCGAUACCUUGGAAGACUCUGGAUGCCAAGAUGUUCUCAACUCCACUUUUCUCGAAGACGUUAAGACAGUUCCAAGCAACAAAUCGGAGAAAAUAACCACGAAACGUAAUAAAAAGUUGGACUACCUGGAAAGAUUGGCUCGAAGAAGAAAAGCUAAAAUAAAAUUGCUCCAGAAUCAGGUAAUAAAACAGGGAAUUUGUUCUACUUAUAAUAACAUGUUUCUAUAUUAAUAACUUUCGAAAAAAUGCUUUUUGGAUUGAAUUGCGUCGUUUUGCCUUUCUCGUUCACGUAGAGUAUUACGAAAACACUAAAUCACAGAUAACAGAAAACGAAUUGCUAUCAGGAUCCGACAUUUGCAGAAACAAGACAGAGAGAAAAAAAUCCAAAAAUUCAAAAAUGCAAAAAAGAAUAAGAUCAAGAAAACCACAUUGAAUGAAAGUAAAAGUGCUGUAAGGAGAAAGAAUGAGAGGAAAUUGAAGCAUUUUAGAAAUUAAUGUUUGUAUAAGUAUUAUGCUGUGUGUGUGCGUGUGUGAGUGUGUAUUUGUGUAAUAACGAGAGAAAAAAUACAUACAUUUUAACCAAAAAGUAAA